GACGAACGCUGGCGGCGUGCUUAACACAUGCAAGUCGAACGGAAAGGCCCUGCUUUUGUGGGGUGCUCGAGUGGCGAACGGGUGAGUAACACGUGAGUAACCUGCCCUUGACUUUGGGAUAACUUCAGGAAACUGGGGCUAAAACCGGAUAGGAGCUCCUGCUGCAUGGUGGGGGUUGGAAAGUUUCGGCGGUUGGGGAUGGACUCGCGGCUUAUCAGCUUGUUGGUGGGGUAGUGGCUUACCAAGGCUUUGACGGGUAGCCGGCCUGAGAGGGUGACCGGCCACAUUGGGACUGACAUACGGCCCAGACUCCUACGGGAGGCAGCAGUGGGGAAUAUUGCACAAUGGACGGAAGCCUGAUGCAGCAACGCCGCGUGCGGGAUGACGGCCUUCGGGUUGUAGGCCGCUUUCGCCUGUGACGAAGCGUGAGUGACGGUAAUGGGUAAAGAAGCACCGGCUAACUACGUG
rnacentral:rRNA from 1 species